AAGCAUAUCAAUAAGCGGAGGAAAAGAAAAUAACAAUGAUUUCCCUAGUAACGGCGAGUGAAGAGGAAAGAGCUCAAAGUUGGAACCUGUUUGGCCUAGCUAAACCGGAUUGUAGACUGUAGAAGUGUUUUCCAGGCAAGCCGAGUAAAUAAGUCCUUUGGAACAGGGCAUCAUAGAGGGUGAGAAUCCCGUCUUUGGCUUGAGCAUUUGCCUUUUGUGAUACGCUUUCAAAGAGUCAGGUUGUUUGGGAAUGCAGCCUAAAUUGGGUGGUAAAUCUCACCUAAAGCUAAAUAUUGGCGAGAAACCGAUAGCGAACAAGUACCGUGAGGGAAAGAUGAAAAGAACUUUGAAAAGAGAGUUAAACAGUAUGUGAAAUUGUUAAAAGGGAACCGUUUGGAGCCAGACUGGCUUGUCUGUAAUCAAUCUAGGCUUCGGCCUGGAUGCACUUGCAGGCUAUGCCUGCCAACGACAAUUUGACUUGAGGGAAAAAACUAAGGGAAAUGUGGCCCACUUGUGGGUGUUAUAGUCCCUUAGAAAAUACCUUGGGUUGGAUUGAGGAACGCAGCGAAUGCUUUUUGGCGAGUUUUCCAGGAAGGUUUUCUGAGGUACUACGGUAUCAAGGUUG
rnacentral:rRNA from 1 species